rnacentral:rRNA from 1 species
CUUCCUUUGCUGGCGACCGGCGCACGGGUGAGUAACACGUAUCCAACCUGCCCUUUACUCGGGGAUAGCCUUUCGAAAGAAAGAUUAAUACCCGAUAGUAUAAUGAUUCCGCAUGGUUUCAUUAUUAAAGGAUUCCGGUAAAGGAUGGGGAUGCGUUCCAUUAGGUUGUUGGUGAGGUAACGGCUCACCAAGCCUUCGAUGGAUAGGGGUUCUGAGAGGAAGGUCCCCCACAUUGGAACUGAGACACGGUCCAA